AGCUAAUAGAAUUAACAUCUUUGAGCUUUUUUGGAGUUUUGUGAAACCAUUAAGGUGGUUUCCUGGGAAAUAAAAUGUAACUGGCAAGAGCUGGUGCAACUAAAUAAUAUAGCUCUCGUUGUCGCUGUAGCGGCUAAUGUGGACUCACCGUAAUGUUAUAAUUUUGAUAGAGCUGGGGUGCAUGUUGAUAAAAAGCAUUAAGUGAGCGUAGACGCACGGCUACGGUAUAAAUUUGGCAAAAAUUAUUGCAAGACCAGCUGAUAGCAUCGAGUUGUAAAGAGGACACGCAGCUAGUUUGCGGACAUAACAACACCCUGUGCCGGAGCGCAGUUUUCCCUUGGUGCAGAAACUGGCCCACCCCACCAACCCGACGAGAGGACUACUGGAUUCGAGGAACGAAAUGUGUGGCGGAUUUAGCUGUUCGAAGAAUGCGCUGAUUGCGCUUAAUGUCCUGUAUGUGUUGGUUGGCUUCCUGCUGAUCGGAGUCGGGGUGUACGGUCGGGCGGCCUCGAUCGUAACCAACCUGCCGAUAAUCAGCGGGAUCCUGGUCUGCGGUGUCAUCCUGAUACUGAUAUCCGUGCUUGGUUUGAUUGGCGCGGUCAAGCACCAUCAGGUGAUGCUGUUCUUCUACAUGAUCAUAUUAUUCCUGCUGUUCCUGAUUCAGUUCUCGAUCGCCUGCAGCUGCCUAGCAGUUAGUGCCGAGCGGCAGCAUCAGUUCGCCGAGCAGGGCUGGACACUGGCGUCGAUUGAGAUUAAGAAGGAGGUCCAGGACAAGUUCCUGUGUUGCGGAUUCAACUCGACAACCACCGGCAGCGGCGCGAAUGAUGAUGUUUCUUCGCAUCCUUCCUGCGAGCAAGUACAGCUGAAGUGUUGCCCGGCCGGAUGGCUUAAUAACUGUCAUUGUCCGCCAUGUAGCAUCAUGCUCGAGGACAGCAUCGGCUACGCCUUCCGGUUGUCAGGCGGAAUCGGGCUGUUUUUCAGCCUAACCGAGAUCCUUGGUGUAUGGCUUACUGUGAGAUACCGAAAUCAGAAGGAUCCUCGCGGUAACCCAAGUGCAUUCCUUUAAAUUUGCUCACAUUCGGCAUGUCCAACGUGCUGGGAUUUCAAAUACUUUCCCUACACCUUCCCUACUUCCUAUCUUCCCUUGCGUCCACCGUUGCUCACGGCGAACACGAAUGAUAAUCGCUAUCUUCCUGGCGCGUCAUUACCGUAAUCAGCAGGAUCCGUAUCACUUACCGGCACGUGCCAUUUUCCCACACAGUAACUACGUUUACUAAAAAGUAUCGAAUACGUCGUUUAUUUGUGAUGGUUGGCCAGCUUUCAGAACGAAGCAGAGGAAUUCGAAAAAAGGAAUGUGAUAGGCUGAAGGAGGUGUUAGCGAUUUCGGCAUGUACCGACAUGCUUUCCAAAGAGAUUGGCCAGACCGGUGGUGGCCUCGGGGUGGAGUUAGCGAUUCUUCUCCAUGCAGAAACUUCUACAAGAAAUCUCAGUUAUAAAAUAGCACUGAAAGGCGGCUCGAUGUUCCAUUAGCGAAAAUUUCCUCAUCAAAUACUCAUUAUAUAUCUUUUAAAGUAUCGGUAAAAAGCCGCAGUAGGGAUAGUCUUUUUUUUAUUUGCGCUGAAUGUUUUUUUUUAUUUUAAUUAGAGUGACAUUAAUUGAUACAGAUUCCGUGUAGGUAAGGGAACAUAGGCUACAAAGAUCAAUCACUAUAGCAAUAGGGAAUCUGAACCAUUUACCUCGUGCUGCGUGUUUCUGAUACUUUUGUUCAAGUUAUUCACUUGCAUACCUUGUUCCAAGUCCUUUUGAGCUGCCAAUUAUUUUAGCCUGUACGACGAGUGUGACGAGAUUCUAUGUCAAUGAAGGAGGAACGACGGUGUCCUAUAUUGUAAAGAGGAAGGAAGAUGCGUGAGACAAUGGAGCAACUAUGGUGAUCAUGAUUUCUACAGCGUAGAAGGCGGCUAAUAUAACAGCACCAUCGAAUUUACAAAGCCCUGCGCACUAUUUAAACAGCAUAAGCCGUGAGCAUCAUCUCUCGUUUAGCUCAAUCGAUGAUCGAUCGCCCACAAGCCACGGGAUGAAACUGUGUUGCAAAAAAGGUAUGCAGGGGCGAGGCGGCAUAAAACAAAAUACUCUGAACUCCAAAAUGAGCGCUCGAUACCCCUGGUCUGUACACCAAAGUCAUCACAAAUGGAUGAGUUUGGUUUUUGGUAAUUAUUAUGAUUUGUCUACUGCAUCGAUGUUAUGUCGAACGCAAACCGCUUCCAUCUUACCGACACAAACUGAAGUUUAACAAAACGCUUUGCUUUGCAAAAGGUGCUCCCGUUCGCGUUUUCCCUUCGAACAAAUAGAGCAGAUGUGGGACACAACAAUGGCAGUGCAGUUAUAUUCUCAACGCCCCGUAUCCUAUAUGUAAACGCAUGUAUGUGUGUGUGUGGAUGUGUGUGUUGUAUGUGUGAUAAUUAUAAGCAAACCGUAUAGCCAAGCUUCUCGUGAUGAUUUAAUACAAAAUGACUGAAUAAAUAUACUUUCCCUUUUAUUUUCUUUAA